rnacentral:rRNA from 1 species
GCUUGUCUCAAAGAUUAAGCCAUGCAUGUCUAAGUAUAAACUGCUUUAUACUGUGAAACUGCGAAUGGCUCAUUAAAUCAGUUAUAGUUUAUUUGAUGGUACCUACUACUCGGAUAACCGUAGUAAUUCUAGAGCUAAUACGUGCGCACAACCCGACUUCUGGAAGGGUCGUAUUUAUUAGAUAAAAGGCCAGCCGGGCUUUGCCCGACCUGCGGUGAAUCAUGAUAACUUCACGAAUCGUAUGGCCUUGUGCCGGCGAUGAAUCAUUCAAAUUUCUGCCCUAUCAACUUUCGAUGGUAAGGUAUUGGCUUACCAUGGUUGCAACGGGUAACGGAGAAUUAGGGUUCGAUUCCGGAGAGGGCGCCUGAGAAAUGGCGACCACAUCCAAGGAAGGCAGCAGG